rnacentral:piRNA from 1 species
UGGAACUCAAAGAGAUCCACCUGCCUUUGC